rnacentral:rRNA from 1 species
GGGCGCAAGCCUGAUGCAGCCUGCCGCGUGUAUGAAGAAGGCCUUCGGGUUGUAAAGUACUUUCAGCAGUGAGGAAGGUAGUAGUGUUAAUAGCACUAUUAUUUGACGUUAGCUGCAGAAGAAGCACCGGCUAACUCCGUGCCAGCAGCCGCGGUAAUACGGAGGGUGCGAGCGUUAAUCGGAAUUACUGGGCGUAAAGCGCAUGCAGGUGGAUGAUUAAGUCAGAUGUGAAAGCCCGGGGCUCAACCUCGGAAUAGCAUUUGAAACUGGUUAUCUAGAGUACUGUAGAGGGGGGUAGAAUUUCAGGUGUAGCGGUGAAAUGCGUAGAGAUCUGAAGGAAUACCGGUGGCGAAGGCGGCCCCCUGGACAGAUACUGACACUCAGAUGCGAAAGCGUGGGGAGCAAACAGGAUUAGAUACCCUGGUAGUCCACGCCGUAAACGAUGUCUACUUGGAGGUUGUGGCCUUGAGCCGUGGCUUUCGGAGCUAACGCGUUAAGUAGACCGCCUGGGGAGUACGGUCGCAAGAUUAAAACUCAAAUGAAUUGACGGGGGCCCGCACAAGCGGUGGAGCAUGUGGUUUAAUUCGAUGCAACGCGAAGAACCUUACCUACUCUUGACAUCCAUAGAACUUUCCAGAGAUGGAUUGGUGCC